UUCAUCCUUCUUGUUCCUCUUAUUUUCUUGGUUGAUGUGCUAAUCGUUUUAGUCAUCUAGAAGAUGAUUGAAAAACUGUGACGAGAAAGGAGAGAUGGACUCGGAUAUUUUGCCUCGUCGUGUCGCAUGGUGGCCGAGAUGCGGCAGCCCCAUGCUCUGUUCCGAUGGGCCUCCUUUGCUUGAUGGUUGCCGCUGGUUGAGUUUGGUACGGUUUCUUGUUGUCGCUUGCAGCGAGCCUUGUGUCCGUCUCUCCUUCUUAUUGAUACUACUUCUCCUGUCACUAGCGCUUCUUCUUCUCGUCCGUCCUGCUGCUUACCCAACGUGCUUCUGCUUGCUGCCUCGGGUUGUAUGAUCUUUUCUGUCGCCGCGUUGUUCGACUCAUCAAGGAUCAGUGUGUUCUCGACUUGUUGUGUCUCUGCAUUCUCUCUUAGCGGUCAUGUUGGUUCCUGAGCACCAUUGAUUCUUUAACAUUGAAGAAUCAAAUUUGGUGCUCAGACCUGAAAUUCAAAAAGAAAGAAAGAAGCAUUUGCUAGGUUCAACAAAUGACGACCUUCGCUGCCAUUGUAAAAGGCCAUGCUGCACAAGUGUUUCGGGUUUCAAUUCAGGGAGGUGACACCUUGAUGAAAUAUUUGUUCUAUAGUAGGUUAGUACAGACUUAUUGGAUCAUACUUUCCACAAGUAUGUGAGUAUGUCCACCACAAUGAAUCAUAACCCUGAAUUGUUAUUAAAAAAACAUAUCUGUGAAACCUUACAUUUGUUACUGUUCCUGGCAUACAGUCCGUGCUUUUGUCUUCAGGAACUUUACAUCAUUAUCUUGUUUAAGCAUCCAGAAUAUAUAUCUUCAGUAACCUAUUUAACAAUGCUUUUUAGCUUUUUCCCAUGUUGUAACAUACUUCCUGUGCUGUGUGAUAAUCUACUGAUGGCCAGUUACAGCUCAAUUUCACCAUGGACAUUGCAUAUGAUGUUCUUUAUUCUCAGCGAAGCAAACAUCUCAUUUGUUUCUCAUACUAUUCUCUACAAAAACUAGGCGUUGCUGAAGCUGGAGUCAUGAUGGCGUUAGUAACCUUGGUGGCGCUUCUUAUACGACAAACCAACUGUCAGAUGUUGCAUAUAGGAGUAUUGUGGAGCUAAUAAUAUUUGAAUAUGAGCUAGCCUACUAUUUCAAUUUGAGUUCAAAAAUUACAAAUGUCAGUGUUUGUUUUCAGUUAUCAAUCUUCUUCCCUUCUCCUUUUUUGGGUCACUUUUGAUAGCUCCAUUCAUUCUGUACAUAUUAGUUGCCGCCUCAAGCCUUGGCUAUUUUCUAGACUAGGCCUCAAUUUGCUGGAAAAUGCAGUCUUCAUUUACUGAGUUAUAUUUUUGUCUUGCUUUCUUCCAGAUCCGUCAUACAGUAGUUUAGAAAAAAAUCUAUCCAAUGGUGAUGAUGCAUGAGGAGCAGCAAGGUCAUGAUCCAUGAAGCCCUAUGUUCUUUUCCUCACCGGUGAGUUUACCUUUUUAUGGUUGGAUGCCAAGUAGCCAAGCAGACGCUUUUUCGUAGAUUAGUUUGCUUAGUUUCAUAUGUUGAGCUGCGUUAUAGUUUCAUAUGUUGAGCUGCGUUAUCGAGUGCGGUGUGUAGGCUCUUUCUAGAUUGCUCAGCAGGCGAUCAACGCGACACAUGUGGAGGCUAUGAGAGCUAUGAAUGGCAUCGGUCUUGUCAUUCUUAUGAGCAGGAGCACGGGCCACAUUACUCUUCAUGCCACUCUAAGCAGCCAGAGGUGUUGACUGCUGCUUGUAUCCUGAGAUUGAUAUCCACGUUGAAGGGAAGGGAGACAUGUUUGAGUUCCUGUAUGAAAGGAUAAAGAAGAAGGGGCAUGCUGUCGUGGUUGUUGCUGAAGGCGUUGGUCAGGAGUUGAUUACCCGGAUUGAUGACCAGAGAGCAUGAUGUUCCUUGAUGUUGGCCUUCUUCUAUAAAGUUUACAUGCAAUUCUCCUCCAUGGUUAAGAAAAACCAAUUUAAACGUUUUGUUUCUUUGAUGGUUACUCAUUUCUCUUACCGUUGUUGUAUCAGAACAAUUGUAUUUUCGUUGAAGGCCACUUGGGCUCAUUUUUGAGGAGAAUGAGAUGUGCGAUAAACUACUCUGAAAUGUUUGGUUUGCUUCAAACAAUUUAUUAGCUAACUAAUUUUGGCUGCUAUUGCACAUAAUACAAUUGUACUCUAUUGUU